AGCAGCCGCUUUCCCUUCCCACUUGCUCCCGUGUGACGUGAGUGUGAGCCGCUGUGUAACCCUCUCCGGUCGCUGCUGGUCCUCCUGCGCUGUGGAAUGAGUUUUAUGAACAGCUGGAGGCGAAGCGUGAAGAAACAUGACAGCAAAAGGGAUGCAAUGAAUCCACAAGACGUACCUGACAGCCCGGACUCCCCGAGCCGGUUGUCAGAUGUAAACAGUCCAGAGCUGGACUCCAUCAUCACAGACUUCAAGUUACAGAUACCGGACGACAAAGAUGGUCUGGAGUCAACAGAUCCAUCGAAUG